rnacentral:rRNA from 1 species
UAGUGACGCGCAUGAAUGGAUUAACGAGAUUCCCUCUGUCCCUAUCUACUGUCUAGCGAACCUACAGGCAGGGGAACGGGCCUGCGAAACACUGCGGGGAAAGAAGACCCUGUUGAGCUUGACUUUAGUUUGGCAUUGUGGAGAGACAUGAGAGGUGUAGCAUAAGUGGGAGGCCGGGAUGGUCGUCUCUCCGUUUUCUAAACGGUUGGCGGUUCCCGAAACCCGAGCCGAAAGUGAAAUACCACUACUGUCAUCGUUUCUCCACUAACUCGGUGAAACGGAACGUAUGUCGCCGGAGUCUACGCUCGCUCUCUCCCGAAAGGGUGCAGUAGGGGCUAAGCUCCGGCGUCGAUAUUCUAGCAUCAAGCGGCGUGCCCCCUUCCCCUUCCUCCUUCCGUGCGGCAUCGUCGCAUCCAUGGCGAGGAAGCGCGACGGGCGCGGGCUACAAGGGUUUUCGCGGGGCAGUCGGAGGCUUCGGCCUCCUCUAUCCCCGAUCAUUCCUUUAUCCUUAGCGCCCCGAGCGACUUCUCGUUUAUCGGGUCGGCGACUCGCCCUCGUUGGAGUGGGAGGCGUUUGGGAGCCGCGAGCCGGUCCGAGGACAGUGUCAGGCGGGAAGUUUGACUGGGGCGGUACAUCUGCCAAACGAUAACGCAGGUGUCCCAAGGCCAGCUCAGCGUGGACAGAAACCUCGCGUAGAGCAAAAGGGCAAAUGCUGGCUUGAUCCGGAUUUUCAGUACGAAUACGGACCGCGAAAGCGUGGCCUAUCGAUCCUUUUGAUUCUCUCUAGAGUUUUGA